CUACGGGGUGCUCCAGUGGGGAAUAUUGCACAAUGGAGGAAACUCUGAUGCAGCAACGCCGCGUGGAGGAUGACACUUUUCGGAGCGUAAACUCCUUUUAUAUAGGAAGAAGAUGACGGUACUAUAUGAAUAAGCGCCGGCUAACUCCGUGCCAGCAGCCGCGGUAAUACGGAGGGCGCAAGCGUUACUCGGAAUCACUGGGCGUAAAGAGCGUGUAGGCGGAUUAAAAAGUCAGAAGUGAAGUCCUAUAGCUUAACUAUAGAACUGCUUCUGAAACUCUUAAUCUAGAAUAUGGGAGAGGUAGAUGGAAUUUCUGGUGUAGGGGUAAAAUCCGUAGAGAUCAGAAGGAAUACCGAUUGCGAAGGCUAUCUACUAGAACAUUAUUGACGCUGAGACGCGAAAGCGUGGGGAGCAAACAGGAUUAGAUACCCUAGUAGUC
rnacentral:rRNA from 1 species